rnacentral:lncRNA from 1 species
CAUAGUUCAUUCUCUUCAAAUAAUUUCAAAGCCCAUAUCAUAUAAAAAUUUAGAGUUUAGGAAACGUGAUUUUCAGCCCAUGAGUAGUACAUAGCUCUUGGUCGAAGGAACUGACGUAAUUUGAUACUUGUGAAAUAUUUUGGCAUUUUGUACUGGAAAAAGUAUUUUCGCAUUUGUUGACCAUUAAGAACGAUGCUUACAAGAUAAAUGGUGUCUGAACCAACAAUGUCCAAAUCUUUUUGAAAGAAAAGUUUGCUAAAACCAUUAGUGCCAGGAGAGCUAUUAAUUCCAAAAACUGCCUCUUUGAUUUCAUUUGUAGUCGAUUCACAAAGAAUGCUAUUGUUAUGUUGCUCAUUAAUGCAUUUUGUAAUGAGGUCCAAAAUAUUAUUGUCAACCCUCAUAUUUCCUUGAGAGAAGAGAUACUGAUAAAGUUCUGCAGCUGCUACACCAAUGUUGUCAUCUCCCUCAAUCCAAUAAUCAUCAACUUUGAUUUUGUAAAUUGAAGAAAUUUUCUUCUGCCACUAACAAUGGAAUGAAAGUAUUAGGUAUUUCAUCACGCUCCAAGUUUCAUUUGAGAUUGGCCUUUUGUUUUCAGAAAGUAUUCACAUGUUUGUGAUGAGUGAUUAAUUUUGCUUUAAUUUUGUUCAUAUCCACUCUGUCUGAUCUAAUGAGUCCAUGUACUUCCCUUCAUUUUAUUCUGC